GAAAUGCGAUAAGGAAUGUGAAUUGCAGAAUUCAGUGAAUCAUCGAAUCUUUGAACGCACAUUGCGCCCGCCAGCACUCUGGCGGGCAUGCCUGUUCGAGCGUCAUUUCAACCCUCAGAACCCCUUGCGGGAUCUGGCGUUGGGGAUUGGCAUCCAGCCAGCCCCGAAAUCUAGUGGCGGUCCCUCCGCGACCUCCCCUGUGCAGUAGCGAUACCUCGCAGCGGGACAGCGGUCUGACCACGCCGUAAAACCCCCAACUUCUCAAGGUUGACCUCGAAUCAGGUAGGAAUACCCGCUGAACUUAAGC
rnacentral:misc_RNA from 1 species